rnacentral:tRNA from 1 species
AGAGGUAUAGCUCAGGGGUAGAGUGUGUGCUUAGCACGCACAGGGCCCUGGGUUCAAUCGCCAGUGGCUCCA